rnacentral:lncRNA from 1 species
UUAGGGUUAGGCUAUUCGAGAAGGUGGCUACGGAGGAGGAGGUGGCAGCAGUGGAGAAGGAGGAGUCUGUUUCUUGGCCUAGAGAUUAUGAGGUGUGUUAGCUCAGUUUCCACAUUAUCUCUACACACCAAUUGACAUUUGUUUUGCAAUGUGUUACUUGCUUCACUUUGUGCUUCUUGUUCUGGUGUAUUAGGAUGUGGCAUGCCAAGAAGUAAAGUUUAAUGGUGGGAGAGCAUCUGCUGCAUCACUCUGGGCCUGUGCUAUAAGGGAACACUACCUCAUCACAGCGCCAACCGGUGGUAGAAAUUGGAUACCGGAAAAUGAUUCUGAUGGGUAUUUGGUUCGGGACUUUUGCCAAUACAUCCAAGGAUUCAAAGGAGCAUUGCAAGUGUCUUCUGUCGCUGGAAUUCGCAAGAAACAGAUGGAAAGGAUCAAGGAGGCUGAGCGAAAUAUAAUUGGCAAUCGAGGAGCGAAUGAAAAUGCAGCAGAAGAGCUUGUGGUGGCCGAAACAAGGUAAUAUUUUACUAAAUUUUAAUAGUAAAAUUAAAAUUUUAUUUUUUCUCAGCAAAAAGAAAAGUAAAACCUUUAAGAAAAAGAAGAAAUAAGAUCAGAGAGUAUUUGUCGGUAAGUCUAUAACUGUAUCACUUGUAUUGCUAAUAUGUUGUUAUGUAGUGAGACGCAACGAAUUAAUCCUA